rnacentral:rRNA from 1 species
GACGAACGCUGGCGGCGCGCCUAACACAUGCAAGUCGAGCGGAGAUAUUUGAAGGAAGUUUUCGGAUGGAAUUUGGGUAUUUUAGCGGCGGACGGGUGAGUAACGCGUGAGUGACCUGCCUUCCACAGGGGGAUAACGUACCGAAAGGUACACUAAUACCGCAUGAGACCACAGCACCGCCUGGUGCGGGGGUCAAAGGAGCAAUCCGGUGGAAGAUGGACUCGCGUCCGAUUAGAUAGUUGGGGGGGUAACGGCCUACCAAGUCAGCGAUCGGUAGCCGACCUGAGAGGGUGAUCAGCCACAUUGGAACUGAGAGACGGUCCAAACUCCUACGGGAGGCAGCAGUGGGGAAUAUUGGGCAAUGGGGGAAACCCUGACCCAGCGACGCCGCGUGAGGGAAGAAGGUUUUCGGAUUGUAAACCUCUGUUCUUGGUGAAGAGGGAAAGACGGUAGCCAAGGAGGAAGCCCCGGCUAACUACGUGCCAGCAGCCGCCGUAA